AAAAAAAAACGAAAAAAAAACGAUUGUAAAUCA
rnacentral:sRNA from 1 species